GUAGGAGCGAGCUUGCUCGCGAAGCGAUUUCCCUGCCGCCUGCUGUGCAAGCCGGGAGAUUUUUCGCGAGCAAGCUCGCUCCUAC
rnacentral:misc_RNA from 1 species